UCGAGCGGAUGAUGGGAGCUUGCUCCUGGAUUCAGCGGCGGACGGGUGAGAAAUGCCUAGGAAUCUGCCUGGUAGUGGGGGACAACGUUUUGAAAGGAACGCUAAUACCGCAUACGUCCUACGGGAGAAAGCAGGGGACCUUCGGGCCUUGCGCUAUCAGAUGAGCCUAGGUCGGAUUAGCUUGUUGGUGAGGUAAUGGCUCACCAAGGCGACGAUCCGUAACUGGUCUGAGAGGAUGAUCAGUCACACUGGAACUGAGACACGGUCCAGACUCCUACGGGAGGCAGCAGUGGGGAAUAUUGGACAAUGGGCGAAAGCCUGAUCCAGCCAUGCCGCGUGUGUGAAGAAGGUCUUCGGAUUGUAAAGCACUUUAAGUUGGGAGGAAGGGUUGUAGAUUAAUACUCUGCAAUUUUGACGUUACCGACAGAAUAAGCACCGGCUAACUCUGUGCCAGCAGCCGCGGUAAUACAGAGGGUGCAAGCGUUAAUCGGAAUUACUGGGCGUAAAGCGCGCGUAGGUGGUUUGUUAAGUUGGAUGUGAAAGCCCCGGGCUCAACCUGGGAACUGCAUCC
rnacentral:rRNA from 1 species